rnacentral:rRNA from 1 species
CCGCACGCGCGCUACACUGACAGAGCCAGCGAGUACUCCCUUGGCCGGAAGGUCCGGGUAAUCUUGUUAAACUCUGUCGUGCUGGGGAUAGAGCAUUGCAAUUAUUGCUCUUCAACGAGGAAUCUCUAGUAAGCGCAAGUCAUCAGCUUGCGUUGAUUACGU